rnacentral:rRNA from 1 species
UCCACGCCCUAAACGAUGUCAACUAGCUGUUGGGGGAAAUUAAUCCCUUAGUGGCGAAGCUAACGUGGUAAGUUGACCGCCUGGGGAGUACGGCCGCAAGGUUAAAACUCAAAUGAAUUGACGGGGGCCCGCACAAGCGGUGGAGCAUGUGGUUUAAUUCGAUGCAACGCGAAGAACCUUACCUGGUCUUGACAUGCCAAGAAUCUCACAGAGACGUGAGAGUGCCUUCGGGA